UAGGAAAUUGUUAGUGGCAGACGGGUGAGUAAUGCGUAGGAAUCUACCUAGUAGUACGGAAUAGCCAUUAGAAAUGGUGGGUAAUACUGUAUAAUCCCCGAGGGGGAAAGAUUUAUCGCUAUUAGAUGAGCCUACGUUAGAUUAGCUAGUUGGUGAGGUAAUGGCUUACCAAGGCUAUGAUCUAUAGCUGGUCUGAGAGGACGAUCAGCCACACUGGAACUGAGAUACGGUCCAGACUCCUACGGGAGGCAGCAGUGGGGAAUAUUGGACAAUGGGCGAAAGCCUGAUCCAGCUAUGCCGC
rnacentral:rRNA from 1 species